AAGCAGGGGAUCGUAAGACCUUGCACUUUUGGAGCGGCCGAUGUCUGAUUAGCUAGUUGGUGGGGUAAUGGCCUACCAAAGCUUCGAUCAGUAGCUGGUCUGAGAGGACGGCCAGCCACACUGGGACUGAGACACGGCCCAGACUCCUACGGGAGGCAGCAGUGGGGAAUUUUGGACAAUGGGCGCAAGCCUGAUCCAGCCAUGCCGCGUGAGUGAAGAAGGCCUUCGGGUUGUAAAGCUCUUUCAGUCGGGAAGAAAAGGUUGCGACUAAUAAUCGCAAUUCAUGACGGUACCGGAAGAAGAAGCACCGGCUAACUACGUGCCAGCAGCCGCGGUAAUACGUAGGGUGCGAGCGUUAAUCGGAAUUACUGGGCGUAAAGCGUGCGCAGGCGGUUUUGUAAGUCAGAUGUGAAAUCCCCGGGCUUAACCUGGGAACUGCGUUUGAAACUACAAGGCUAGAGUGUGGCAGAGGGGGGUGGAAUUCCGCGUGUAGCAGUGAAAUGCGUAGAGAUGUGGAGGAACACCGAUGGCGAAGGCAGCCCCCUGGGUCAGCACUGACGCUCAGGCACGAAAGCAUGGGGAGCAAACAGGAUUAGAUACCCUGGUAGUCCAUGCCCUAAACGAUGUCAACUAGUUGUCGGGCCUUAACGGGCUUGGUAACGUAGCUAACGCGUGAAGUUGACCGCCUGGGGAGUACGAUCGCAAGAUUAAAACUCAAAGGAAUUGACGGGGACCCGCACAAGCGGUGGAUUAUGUGGAUUAAUUCGAUGCAAC
rnacentral:rRNA from 1 species